CCUGGAGAGGAAAGACCACGUGAAGGUACCAUCUGCAAGAUAGGCAGAUGGGAUACGGAAGAUCCACCUCCACUAACAACUUAAUCUCCAAUUUCCACCUUCAGAAAUCGUUUUAGGCCUGUGCACACUCCAGCCUCAGUGUGGAGACAGGAGAACAACUUGCCAGAGUUCUUUCUCUCCGUCGACCACGUGGGUGCCAGGGAUUAAAGUCAGAUGGUCAGGUUCCAUGAUAGUACCUUUGCCCAGCAAGCAGUUCGCUACCCUAACACAUGUGUUGAAUAUCUGAGCACAGAUUUGCAGUCUCUGCUAAGGCUUUGAGAGAAGCUGAGUCCAUUCCUUGAGAGCCAGCCGUCCCCGGACUGUCUAGAGCUUCAGCCAGUGCCUGGAGACCUCCCCUUGCACAGAGAAGCACAUUGUUUCCAGUCUAGGGGCAAAAGGACAUGGCAUUCUGUCCAACCCUCCUCUGAGCAGGGAUUUCACAUCUGAGGAAAGGGGAAGUUGAGGCCAGGGGGCAGAUUUAUCUUGCAA